UACGAAGGGGGCUAGCGUUGCUCGGAAUUACUGGGCGUAAAGGGCGCGUAGGCGGUUCUAUAAGUCAGGCGUGAAAUUCCUGGGCUUAACCUGGGAACCGCGCUUGAGACUGGCGGGCUAGAGUUCGGGAGAGGAUGGUGGAAUUCCCAGUGUAGAGGUGAAAUUCGUAGAUAUUGGGAAGAACACCGAUGGCGAAGGCAGCCAUCUGGACCGACACUGACGCUGAGGCGCGAAAGCGUGGGGAGCAAACAGG
rnacentral:rRNA from 1 species